rnacentral:rRNA from 1 species
UACGGGGGGUGCGAGCGUUGUCCGGAAUCACUGGGCGUAAAGGGCGCGUAGGUGGUUUGAUAAGGGUGUGGUGAAAGUCCGGGGCUCAACCCCGGAUCUGCCGUGCCGACUGUCAAACUCGAGGACUGUAGAGGCAGACGGAAUUCCUGGUGUAGCGGUGAAAUGCGCAGAUAUCAGGAGGAACACCGGUGGCGAAGGCGGGUCUCUGGGCCGAUACUGACGCUGAGGAGCGAAAGCAUGGGUAGCGAACAGG